rnacentral:sRNA from 1 species
AAGAUUCAAACAACCAACCCUGAUUUCCUGCUUCUCCUUUUCAUGAGUGUUCCUGUGGUCUCUGCACCUCCUUUCUUGUGUAAUGUUUAACAGCAGCAAAAUUAAAACGUAAGUUCCAUGCAGCAGUCCUCAAGGCCACGAUAGCAACUGCUGCUGGUGGUGCCCGACGGGGAGGGGGCUGCCAAACUAUGCAUCUGACCAAGGACUAAUAUCCAGAAUCUACAAGAACACAAACAACUCAACAAGAAAAAACAAUCCCAUUAAAAAGUGGGCAAAGGACAUAAACAGACAUUUUCCAAAGGAAGACAUACAAGUGGCCAAGAAACAUAUGAAAAAAUGCUCAACAUCACUAAUCACCAGAUAAAUGCAAAUUAAAACCACAAUGAGAUAC